AACGAACGCUGGCGGCAGGCCUAACACAUGCAAGUCGAGCGAGCAUUUCGGUGCUAGCGGCGGACGGGUGAGUAACGCGUGGGAACGUGCCCUUUUCUGCGGAAUAGUCCUGGGAAACUGGGGUUAAUACCGCAUACGCCCUUUUGGGGAAAGAUUUAUCGGAGAAGAAUCGGCCCGCGUUGGAUUAGGUAGUUGGUGGGGUAAUGGCCCACCAAGCCGACGAUCCAUAGCUGGUUGGAGAGGAUGAUCAGCCACACUGGGACUGAGACACGGCCCAGACUCCUACGGGAGGCAGCAGUGGGGAAUCUUAGACAAUGGGGGCAACCCUGAUCUAGCCAUGCCGCGUGAGUGAUGAAGGCCUUAGGGUUGUAAAGCUCUUUCAGCUGGGAAGAUAAUGACGGUACCAGCAGAAGAAGCCCCGGCUAACUCCGUG
rnacentral:rRNA from 1 species